rnacentral:rRNA from 1 species
UAAGGAAUAUUGGUCAAUGGACGCAAGUCUGAACCAGCCAUGCCGCGUGAAGGAUUAAGGUCCUCUGGAUUGUAAACUUCUUUUAUCUGGGACGAAAAAACGGCGAUUCUUCGUCACUUGACGGUACCAGAUGAAUAAGCACCGGCUAACUCCGUGCCAGCAGCCGCGGUAAUACGGAGGGUGCAAGCGUUAUCCGGAUUCACUGGGUUUAAAGGGUGCGUAGGCGGGCAGGUAAGUCAGUGGUGAAAUCCUAGAGCUUAACUCUAGAACUGCCAUUGAUACUAUCUGUCUUGAAUAUUGUGGAGGUAAGCGGAAUAUGUCAUGUAGCGGUGAAAUGCUUAGAUAUGACAUAGAACACCUAUUGCGAAGGCAGCUUACUACGCAUAUAUU